rnacentral:lncRNA from 1 species
UAUGACUUGUUCUUAAAAGGUUUUUGAAAUGAUAUCACACCUACACGUUUUGAUAACAUUUUUAAAAUGUUGCGACACAAUGCCUUAUUGUUACCGCGGGAAAUGACGUCGGAAUGACGUCACCCUUCACGUCAUAAUUUUGCACCCGCCAUCUUAGUUGAAGUUUAUUCAGGACCCUACCACCUUGUCAUUCGACUCAUGGUGCAACAACUGGAACUGGAUCAUCGAUGUGACCUGGGUUGCGCAAGGGCGAAUAUGAGACAAGCAUUCCAGGAUAUACAAACACAUGAUGGAUUUAUGGAGGAAUACAUCAAAUAAUCCAGGAGCUGUGAAUUAUAAAUAUGGAUGACUGCAAAAGCAAAGAAGAAGAUAAUGAAACAAACUGAAAAUGUGUACACGUUUCCAGAAUUAUUAAUAAAAUUGUUGAUUACAA